CCUACGGGUGGCAGCAGUGGGGAAUAUUGGACAAUGGGGGCAACCCUGAUCCAGCCAUGCCGCGUGUGUGAAGAAGGCCCUCGGGUUGUAAAGCACUUUCAGUGAGGAAGAACGCCUGGUGGUUAAUACCCAUCAGGAAAGACAUCACUCACAGAAGAAGCACCGGCUAACUCCGUGCCAGCAGCCGCGGUAAUACGGAGGGUGCGAGCGUUAAUCGGAAUUACUGGGCGUAAAGCGCGCGUAGGUGGCUUGAUAAGCCGGUUGUGAAAGCCCCGGGCUCAACCUGGGAACGGCGUCCGGAACUGUCAAGCUAGAGUGCAGGAGAGGAAGGUAGAAUUCCCGGUGUAGCGGUGAAAUGCGUAGAGAUCGGGAGGAAUACCAGUGGCGAAGGCGGCCUUCUGGACUGACACUGACACUGAGGUGCGAAAGCGUGGGUAGCAAACAGGAUUAGAUACCCCGGUAGUC
rnacentral:rRNA from 1 species